AUUGAACGCUGGCGGCAGGCCUAACACAUGCAAGUCGAGCGGAGCGGCGGACGGGUGAGUAAUGCCUAGGAAUCUGCCUGGUAGUGGGGGAUAACGUCCGGAAACGGGCGCUAAUACCGCAUACUAUCAGAUGAGCCUAGGCUGGCUUAGCUAGUUGGUGGGGUAAAGGCCUACGAAGGCGACGAUCCCUAACUGGUCUCAGAGGAUGAUCAGCCACACUGGAACUGAGACACGGUCCAGACGCCUACGGGAGGCAGCAGUGGGGAAUAUUGGACAAUGGGCGAAAGCCUGAUCCAGCCAUGCCGCGUGUGUGAAGAAGGUCUUCGGAUUGUAAAGCACUUUAAGUUGGGAGGCGGUACCAACAGAAUAAGCACCGGCUAACUUCGUGCCAGCAGCCGCGGUAAUUC
rnacentral:rRNA from 1 species